UCCCGAUUCCUCUUCACUCGAGGCCAUUGGCUUCCAUUAUCGAUCUUCUUUCUAAUGGGUGAAGAUUAACUACCCUUAUACUCUUUCUCCUUUUCACAGGUUCAGGAGAGAAUAUUUACACCCCUCUUUUACAAGUGUUCCCUCACACACCUCCCUUAGGACUAUCAUUAAGCACUUGGAGGAGGGACUCUAUACUUAAAAGAAUUUUACAACCUUGGAAUCAUAGAGUUUUUACUCUCUUUUUGUGUGUAUUCCAA
rnacentral:lncRNA from 1 species